UACGGAGGAUGCAAGCGUUAUCCGGAAUGAUUGGGCGUAAAGGGUCCGCAGGUGGCAGUGUAAGUCUGCUGUCAAAGAAUGAGGCUUAACCUCAUCAAGGCAGUGGAAACUACACAGCUAGAGUACGGUCGGGGUAGAAGGAAUUCCUGGUGUAGCGGUGAAAUGCGUAGAGAUCAGGAAGAACACCGGUGGCGAAAGCGUUCUGCUAGACCUGUACUGACACUGAGGGACGAAAGCUAGGGGAGCGAACAGG
rnacentral:rRNA from 1 species